rnacentral:rRNA from 1 species
CGUAGGGCGCAAGCGUUGUCCGGAAUUAUUGGGCGUAAAGAGCUUGUAGGUGGCUUGUCGCGUCUGCCGUGAAAACCCGAGGCUCAACCUCGGGCGUGCGGUGGGUACGGGCAGGCUAGAGUGUGGUAGGGGAGACUGGAACUCCUGGUGUAGCGGUGAAAUGCGCAGAUAUCAGGAAGAACACCGAUGGCGAAGGCAGGUCUCUGGGCCAUUACUGACACUGAGAAGCGAAAGCAUGGGUAGCGAACAGGA